UACACUUGCUAAUAGAGUCUGCUUCUAAUCGUCUUGUAAUGAGACAAACUUAACUUUGACCUUUGGCCUCAAAUCAGGUAGGACUACCCGCUGAACUUAA
rnacentral:rRNA from 1 species